rnacentral:lncRNA from 1 species
GUGUAUUUCACAAGUCUCAACAGACUACAGAGAAAAUAAAAAGCCAGGUUUGUAUGACUGGCACUGGGAAAUAACUGGUCGAUUCUCGUAUACCAGGGUUCCCCAACUGGUGGCCCGAGGGUGAUUUUUGGACAUAAAAUACUUGAAAAACACCAGCAAAUCAGCUCCAAGUGAUUUUAAUUUGGGUAAUAUGUUCCAAAGUAUUCCCACGCAUAAUAUAGAUACACUGAGUGUACAAAAAUCUAGGAACACCUUCCUAAAAACAAAUCUAUUCAUCGGGGAAUGGACUCUACAAGGUGUCGAAAGCGUUCCACAAGGAUGCUGGCCCAUGUUGACUCCAACGCUUCCCACAGUUGUGUCAAGUUGCCUGGAUGUCCUUUGGGUGGUAUAGACCUACUUGAUACAAACGGGAAACAAGAACAACCCAGCGGCAUUGCAGUUGACACAAACAGGUGUGCCUUGCACCUACUACCAUACCCCAUUCAAAGGCAACUAAAUAUUUUGUCUUGCCCAUUCACCCUAUGAAUGGCACGUACACAAUCCAUGUCUCAAUUGUUUUAAGGCUUAAAAAUGAUUAUUUAACCUGUCUCCUCCCCUUCAUCUACACUGGAUCUACAGUGAUCCACACUGAAGUGGAUUUAACACAUGACAUCAAUAAGUGAUCAUAGCUUUCACCUGGUCAGUCUAUGUCAUGGAAAGAGCAGGCGUUAUGAUGUUUUCCAAACUCAGUGUAUGUGGUCUGAAAUGAUUAUGUUUUAGUCAAAUAUACAGUAUGUCUGGUCAAUUUGCGAUUUGUAAUUAUGUUCUGGCCCCCUUAAGAAAAAAUCUAGUCAUAUACUGUACAUUCAACUCAGACUGGUAACAGAUGCAGCAAGUUGUGCCAAAUGUUUUUUUAAACCUUUUUUCUCCCCAAUCGGUAGUUACAGUCUUGUCCCAUCACUGCAACUCCCGUACGGACUCAGGAGAGGCGAAGGUCGAGAGCUGUGCGUCCUCCGAAACACAACCAAGCCACACUGCUUCUUGACACAAUGCCUGCUUAACCCAG